AACGAACGCUGGCGGCAGGCCUAACACAUGCAAGUCGAGCGCCCCGCAAGGGGAGCGGCAGACGGGUGAGUAACGCGUGGGUAUCUACCUAGUGGUACGGAAUAGCCCAGGGAAACUUGGAGUAAUACCGUAUAAGCCCGAAAGGGGAAAGAUUUAUCGCCAUUAGAUGAGCCUGCGUUGGAUUAGCUAGUUGGUGGGGUAACGGCCCACCAAGGCGACGAUCCAUAGCUGGUUUGAGAGAAUGACCAGCCACACUGGGACUGAGACACGGCCCAGACUCCUACGGGAGGCAGCAGUGGGGAAUCUUGGACAAUGGGCGAAAGCCUGAUCCAGCCAUGCCGCGUGAGUGACGAAGGUCUUCGGAUUGUAAAGCUCUUUUGGCGGGGACGAUAAUGACGGUACCCGCAGAAUAAGCCCCGGCUAACUUCGUGCCAGCCGCCGCAGUAAUAC
rnacentral:rRNA from 1 species